CAUGUGCUGAAGAUAUCAAUUAUAUUAAACGUUCUGAAAUGAAAAAAAUUCUAAGACUGAGGGGAAAUGAUAAGUCACCACUUUAUUACAAUUAAGGUACAUGCUCGGUUUAUUCAAAAAUCUACUUUUUUCGUGCUCGUCGUUCAGAGGGACCUUCCGAGGUGCGCUUUCGUUUUUGCUUCCGUGACGAGCUAACAGCCGCUGAUGAUUGUGCAGAAGAAGGAGAAAUCCCGCGGCUUUGUAAAGGACUAUGAAAAGACUUUGGGGUCGAGAGUGUAGAAUUUGUCGAUUUUGAAAGUGCCGUCAACUUAGAAAGCCAUCGAUGAGUACUUGCUAUAGGUUUUUCUAGAGUAAAAACAUCCGAAGGGCUUUCAAGAAAUACCGUAUGUGAAACAGGCUUGGCUUCCCAAUAAGGAGAACCCGGAGGACUAGCAGGAGGAGUUGGUAAAACCGUGCUAUUCAUGUCUAUCAACAGAUCAUUCAAAUGUCUACGAACGAGGUUAACAUAAAAUCAAAGACUUUUAAUAAAUGUAUUCACAUACGCAUUUUCUAAUAAAAUUCUGCGAUAAACUUCUGAUAUUUCAGCAAUCUUUUGUUCAAUUUCCUCUGUUUCAAGGACUACCGAAUCAAAUGACUUUCGAAGUUUUAAAUAUUUUCGUUUAAAGGAUUUAACAGACGCCAUAUGUGAAAAGGCAGGUGAGAAUAUAUUUCAAAUGGUUGAACACCUACCUGCCCAUUUGGGCUCUUGAGUGUUACGGUACAUAGUACGCUCCAUUUCGUUACACAUUCAUUUCCAUAUUAGAGAAAAAGAAAUAAAUAACCGAUAUACUACUAUUCAUAAAAUGCUGAUAAACAUUGAAACUCAAACUCUUUAAAAAUUCUGAGAAAGGAAGUAUCCACAGGUUCAAUCGUGAUAGACAAUGAAUUUUCUCUAUUUAGUUUGAACCAGGAAAGACAAUAAUGAAUAAAGGAAUAAGUUAUACCAUAUUAUUUUUUAAACAAAAAGUAACCCCGAAAAAUAGAACCAACAAGAACAGAAGAACUGUUAUUUUUUUUAACACCUGGAUAAAAUAGAAGACAAAACAAGAAAAUCGGAUAUCAAGAGCAUCUCUUUCUAUUUCAUGAACGUUGCCGUAUUACUAGACAAAUAAAAUUUAUCGAGCAUGAAAAUAACGGAAGCAGAAGGACAAUCGAAGAUAUUAAAAACAAUAGUCUUCAUACAAAUCAGUCAGCAUACAUACAUGAAGAACGGCGUAAGAAACAGUGAAAUAUUGAGAAAAUCACAACCAAAAGAAUGAUUAACAGAUGAAAACUCAAUCUAAUUGUUUGUACUAAAUUUAUAAGCACAUCGAGGACAUUCGUAAAACACCGUAGAACCUUCAUCAGCAGACCUCAAUUGCAAAGUAUGGAAAGUCAUAUGGUCGUUUCCACAUUUUGGACAUUUUUCCUCAAUCUACAAAACUUUGUUAGUAUGGCAAUAAACCCAAAAAAGGACUAUGAUAAAGUCCUUUGCCUGACUGUGCCGAUUUUUCAAUUCACUGGAUAUAUGAUACAAAAAAGUUCCUUGAUUAGACUCUCCUAAUGCAUUCUUAAAAAAAAAAAAGUUUUCCAAAUGAUACAAAGCCUAAAAGGAAAGAAGAAUGACAACCAACAUGAAAAAAAGGAUUCGAAAAGAAUAGACAAAAAUAAGUUACAUACCGUUGCUGCCUCCUCCUUCUGAGAUUCUACUUGAACGAUACUGUGCUUGAGUUUUAAAGCAGAAGGAAAAGCACUUGCACUACUCUUCGUUUCCACUACCAAAUUGGCAAAUUGCUCAGAAGGAUAAACGGAUUGACACUGAUCACAAGUAGUCCAUUGGGCAGUAGUCGAUUCCAACAAGUUACCGCAUUCUGAGCAAAAUAUCAAAGACCCUAUUGCCGACAUUGGGAUUCCUCCUUGCUUGAUGGGGAAGGCACUGGUGUUUAUGACAAGCUAGUUUGUCUUUGACAAGUGCAAUUUUCUUUCGCUGUAACUCAUUAUUUUGCGGUAAGUGAUGGAAAAGCGAGUGUAUCAUUAUCGUAAAAGCCAAUACACACUGUGAGCGACUAUGAUCAGUAUAGUGCCUUAAUUAGUAAACAAUAAGCUAGAGAUGAGUAAACGAAUUUCCUGAUCUAUUGAUGAACAUUAUGCUAAAGGCAUAAAUUACAGACAUUUAAAAAUCAUUCGUUUUUGUAAAGAAAUUACUUAUUGAUAAAUCAACCUUGGAAUUCCAAGUUGGGGAAUUUAAAAAGCUUUCUCGGGAAAUUUCACCUAUAUAAGUAUUGUAUCGUUGUUUCUGGAAAAA